UGAAACCGUUCGGGGGUAAACGGACAGAGCCCGUGAAUCCGGGCGGCAGAAUUCAGAGUCGACGGGCGCGAGUCGGUCUGCUCGAUAUUUCUGUCGCCGUCUACACGGACGUCGCGACCUGUUCGACGUCGGCCCUUGUCCAGGAACCGCGUUCGAGCUCGCUGUCGGGUGUGCGCUCGCGUACAUUUCGACGGCGAAGGCGCGGACUUCUGGCCGACUCGUCGGACAGUAUGUCAAUGAGAGGGUAUCCGGCGUCGUCCUCGUGGCGGCGCCGGUGCCGGUCAGCGACGAAUCUUCGGGUCU
rnacentral:rRNA from 1 species